CAGCCGCCGCGGUAAAACGUAGGUGGCAAGCGUUGUCCGGAAUUAUUGGGCGUAAAGGGCUCGCAGGCGGUCUCUUAAGUCUGAUGUGAAAGCCCCCGGCUCAACCGGGGAGGGUCAUUGGAAACUGGGAAACUUGAGUGCAGAAGAGGAGAGUGGAAUUCCACGUGUAGCGGUGAAAUGCGUAGAGAUCUGGAGGAAUACCGGUGGCGAAGGCGGCCCCCUGGACGAAGACUGACGCUCAGGUACGAAAGCGUGGGGAGCAAACCGGAUUAGAUACCCGGGUAGUCCCUGUCUCUUAUAA
rnacentral:rRNA from 1 species